rnacentral:piRNA from 1 species
UGCUAAGAAUUCGUGAGAGGCUUAGGGUGU